rnacentral:rRNA from 1 species
AUAGUGGAUACCUUGGCAUUCAAAAGCGAAGAAGGACGUGGUUACCGACGAAACGCUUCGGGGAGUUGGAAACAAGCAUUGAUCCGGAGGUCUCCGAAUAAGGCAACUUCAUUGACCUACCAACAAAAAAAAAUAAAUUUAAAAUAAUGAGUUGGAUAGGGGCGAACUUAGGGAACUGAAACAUCUUAGUACCUAGAGGAAAAAAAAGUAAAAACGAUUCCCUGAGUAGCGGCGAGCGAAACGGGACCAGCCUAAACCAAAAAUUUAUUUUUGGGGUUGUGGGGUAUUCGUAACGAGUAUGUAUAAAUUAGAUGAAUUAGCUUGGAAAACUAAACCAUAGAAAGUGAAAGUCUUGUAAUCGAAAAUUUAUCUACUUAGAAUUUUCCCCGAGUAGCAUGGGGCACGUGAAAUCCCGUGUGAAUCUACUAGGACCACCUUGUAAGGCUAAAUAUUCUUGAAUGACCGAUAGUGAACCAGUACCGCGAGGGAAAGGUGAAAAGAACCCCGGAAGGGGAGUGAAAUAGAACAUGAAACUGUAAACCUACAAGCAGUAGGAGGACGACGAUCUCGUUUGACUGCGUGCCUGUUGAAGAAUGAGCCGGCGACUUAUAGGUAAUGGCUUGGAUUAAGGUAGAAAAUACCGGAGUCAAAGAAAAGUCGAGUCUGAUUAAAAAGGGCUAAAAGGUCAUUAUUUAUAGACCCGAACCCGGGUGAUCUAACCAUGGCCAGGAUGAAGCUUAGGUAGUACUGAGUGGAGGUCCGAACCGACUGAUGUUGAAAAAUCAGCGGAUGAGCUGUGGUUAGGGGUGAAAUGCCAAUCGAACUCGGAGCUAGCUGGUUCUCCCCGAAAUGUGUUUAGGCGCAGCGGUUAAAUAGCAUGAUUUUAGGGGUAAAGCACUGUUUCGGUGCGGGCUGGUAAAACGGUACCAAAUCGAGGCAAACUCUGAAUACUAAAAUUAUUCGAAUAACCAGUAAGACUAUGGGGGAUAAGCUUCAUUGUCAAAAGGGAAACAGCCCAGACCAUCAGCUAAGGCCCCUAAAUAAUUACUAAGUGAUAAAGGAGGUGGGAAUGCAGAAACAACCAGGAGGUUUGCUUAGAAGCAGCAAUCCUUUAAAGAGUGCGUAAUAGCUCACUGGUCGAGCAAUCCUGCGCCGAAAAUGUACGGGGCUAAGUAAUUUGCCGAAGCUAUGGGAUAUGAAAUAAAUAUCGGUAGGGGAGCGUUCUGCUAUUUGGUUGAAGUAUUAACGUAAGUGGGUAUGGACAAAGCAGAAGUGAGAAUGUCGGCUUGAGUAGCGAAAACAUUGGUGAGAAUCCAAUGCCCCGAAAACCUAAGGUUUCCUCCGGAAGGCUCGUCCGCGGAGGGUGAGUCAGGUCCUAAGAUGAGGCCGAUAGGCGUAGUUGAUGGACAAUGGGCGAAUAAUCCCAUACCGAUUUUUGUCGUUAGGUAACGAGGGACGAAGACAGCUAAACUGGCCGGUAAUUGGUUUCCGGUACAAGCAUUAAGGUGCUGAGAAGUAGAAAAGAAAAUACUUUGAGCUAAGAUGUGAAAAGAUGAUAGACAGCAAUGUUUAGAUUCUUCAGUUGACGUUAUGCUUCCAAGAAAAGCUCGUAUUACUACAAAGUUCAAAAUACUGAAAAAUGACAAAAAUUGCCUGUACUGUAAACCGACACAGGUGGGUAAGUAGAGAAUACUAAGGGGCGCGAGAUAACUCUCUCUAAGGAACUCGGCAAAAUUGCCCCGUAACUUCGGAAGAAGGGGUACCUUUUAACUAAGGUUGCAAUAACUAGGUCCAAGCGACUGUUUAUCAAAAACAUAGGUCUCCGCUAAAUCGAAAGAUGAUGUAUGGGGGCUGAUGCCUGCCCAGUGCCGGAAGGUUAAAGAAGUUGGUUCACGCUAAUAACUGAAGCCCCGGUGAACGGCGGCCGUAACUAUAACGGUCCUAAGGUAGCGAAAUUCCUUGUCGGGUAAGUUCCGACCUGCACGAAAGGCUUAACGAUUUGGACACUGUCUCAGAGAGAGGCUCGGCGAAAUAGAAUUGUCUGUGAAGAUGCGGACUACCUGCACCUGGACAGAAAGACCCUAUGAAGCUUUACUGUAACUUGAGAUUGAAUUUGGAUAGUAAUUGCGCAGAAUAGGUGGGAGGCUGUGAUAAUUUUCUUGCGGGAAAGUUGGAGCCAUCAGUGAGAUACCACUCUUUUGCUAUUCGACUUCUCACUCUAUACCGUUAUCCGGAUAGAAGACACUCUCUGGUGGGCAGUUUGACUGGGGCGGUCGCCUCCCAAAAGGUAACGGAGGCGUGCAAAGGUUUUCUCAGAUCGGUCAGAAAUCGAUCGUAGAGUGCAAAGGCAUAAGAAAGCUUGACUGCGAGACCUACAAGUCGAGCAGAGACGAAAGUCGGUCUUAGUGAUCUGACAGUACUGAGUGGAAAGGCUGUCACUCAACGGAUAAAAGUUACUCUAGGGAUAACAGGCUGAUCUCCCCCAAGAGUUCACAUCGACGGGGAGGUUUGGCACCUCGAUGUCGGCUCAUCGCAUCCUGGGGCGGUAGUACGUCCCAAGGGUUAGGCUGUUCGCCUAUGAAAGCGGUACGCGAGCUGGGUUCAGAACGUCGUGAGACAGUUCGGUCCAUAUCCGGUGUGGGCGUUAGAGUAUUGAGAGAAUUCUUCUUUAGUACGAGAGGACCGAGAAGAACACACCGCUGGUGUACCAGUUAUUGUGCCAACAGUAAACGCUGGGUAGCUACGUGUGGAACAGAUAACCGCUGAAAGCAUCUAAGUGGGAAGCUAAUCUCAAGAUGAGUACUCUUUAUUUAAGAUCACAACAAGACUAGUUGUUUGAUAGGCAUUAAGUGGAAGUAUAGUAAUAUAUGUAGCUGAAAUGUUCUAAUAGAUCGAAUACUUGAUUU